UGAACUCUAUACAACCUCUUCUUUUAAUAUGUCGAUGUUUGCAGGGGAAAUCUCUAAGAGGAGGACCUCAGAUGAUCCAGUUGAGCCUCGAUGGGAAAAGAUUGUAUGCAACAAACUCGCUCUUCAGUGCGUGGGACCGUCAGUUUUAUCCGGAACUCAUGGAUAAAGGAUCACACAUUAUUCAGAUUGAUGUUGAUACAGAGAAAGGUGGUCUAUCCAUAAACCCUGAUUUCUUUGUGGACUUUGGUGAUGAACCAGAUGGUCCGGCGCUUGCCCAUGAGAUGAGAUAUCCAGGUGGUGACUGCACUUCCGAUAUCUGGAUUUGAAUCUGCACCUAUGAAAGAGUAAUGCUGAAAUUUACUCGUUGAGUUUUGUAAAGUAUAAUAAACUAGUGAUACCUCCCGUGCUACGCAUGGAUCAGCUUCAAUGUCUUCCAAAUCGCACGAUCAUAAGAUUGUAAUGAUUAUAAAAAUAAAAUCGAAUGUAUCAGAUUGAAUAUUCUAAUAAAACCGAAUUUCAAUAUAAUUAAAAAAAUAUAUUUUUGUAUCAUAUGUAAUAUUUUAUACCAGAAAAGCUUGAAUCAUAUGUAUUAAUAGCUUGUAUCAGACCUAUGUAUUAAUAGAAACUAGUAUAUCCAUCCCGUGCUAUGCACGGACCAGCUUUUGUUUACAUUUAAACUGGGAUAAGACCUGCGCCUUGUGCAGAGAAAAAUAUUUAUUUAAAAACUUAUGUUUUCAUAUUGUAAAAUCUGAUGAUUUCUGAAUACAUGUGUUCUUGUUGUCAAAAUAUAUUUGGUAUUUAUGUUUUUCUCAAUAUGGAAUAAUUAACUAAUUAUAAACUAGAUUUUUCACCCGCAUAUCCGUGCGAGUAGAUUUUCAUUUUAUAAAUAUAUAACAGAUACCAUCGCAAAAUUUUCAAAGAUAUUAUUUAGAUUUUAGUGUUAUAUAUUGUGUAAAUCUAUAAUGUUAUUAGUUAUGUUUCUUAUUCGAUAUUAUUAAUGUAUAAUGAUUUGUUUUAUACAUUUUACUUUAUUAUUAAUUGUUAUUAUAUAUUAAUAUAUUUUCGAAUUUGGUAAAAUAAAUUCAUAGUAUGAAAUAAACAAACUGAGAAUGUCCUUCAUUUUUUUUCUAAUUUUUACAGACUGAAUACAACACAUUUUAAAAUUUUAUUUAGUUACUAUAGAAUUGAUAUUUUCUUAGCAUUAGAUAUAUUUCUAUGUUAUUUAUUUUAGUAUAUUGUGGGAUUUUAUAAGUAAAUAGAUUAUAAUAAUACUAUAUUAUUAAUUAUGAAAUCAAUCGUUGCAUUAAUUUUAAAAAUAUUUUAAAACUUUUUAAAGAUUUUUUUAGAUUUUUUCCAACAUAUUUUGUUAUAAGUAGAAAUAAAAUUUAAAUUUACAGUUAAAAUUUAUUUAUUAAUAUCUAUAUAAUUUAUAAGAUUUUUUAGAAAUGUUAUAUAUUAAAUAUAUUAACUUUAAUAAUCAAAUAGAUGUAAUUGAUGAAAUAGACCUAGUAUGAUUUUUUAUGGUAUUUCUUUUAAUAAAGAAGAUAUAGAAUAUAAUUAUAAAAUUUGAAAAAUAGCAUACCCUUUUAUUUUAUUUUAUUUUUAUAAUAAAAUCUUAUUUAAAUUAAUGUAUAAUAGUAUUUAUUAAUUACGAAAUUAAUCAAUAGUAUUAAUUUAAAUAAAAUAUUUUAAAUUUUUAGAAAGAUUUUGUUAGAUUUUUUCUUAACAUUUUGUUAUAACUAAAGAUAAAAUUUAAAUUUACAGUUAAAAUUGAUUUAUUAUUAAUAUCUUUAUAUAUUUAAUAGAUUAAUGUAAAUAAUUAAAUAAAUGUAAUUAAUGAAAUGUACCUAAUAAGGCUAGUAUAACUUUUUUUAUGGUAGAUAAAAAUAGUACUUCUCUUUUAAUAGAGAAGAUAUUCGGUACACAUAGGAAAAAUAUAGAAGUCCAAAUCAAAUAAUUAAAUUGUGAUAUCAUUGAUACUCCUAUAAUCAUGAGUUGUGAAAACAUUUGAUGGUAUUUCUGAUGGAAAACUCAACUGUAUAUAUAUAAUAGGCAUAUGUAGGUUUUCAGAUUGUUUGAAAAGUUAAAAUAAUUAGUAUUAAUUAUCUACAAACUGUAUUUUAACGUGAUACAUUGAACCAAUAUUUUUGUAAGUUUUCAAUAACUACCACAAACAUAUUUGGCAAGUUGUUUUCAAUGGUCGAAAUUAUAGAAUUUGUGAGAAAGUAUAUUAUUAUCUUAAAUUAAACUUACCAUAUAGAACUUCUUCAAAAUUUUGUACCAAGCUUAAAAAUUCGGUGGAAAAGUUUCUUAUUUGUUUAAACAGUCUGGUAUAAAAACAAUUAAUAUAAACUUAGCAAAAGAGCUAGAUUAUAAAAUUGUAUAUCACGAAAAUUUGGUUCAAAUUUUAGAAAUUUUCUUGUCUUCUAACGAUAAUAAUACCGGCAGUUUACGAUUGAUCCUCUUUCGGCUUAGUUGAAAUUAAAAAGAACAUUUAAGCGACUUCAAUUAUAGAUAAUCCGAAAUAAGUAGCUGUUUUCUAAUUAAACAUAGUGCAUUGACAAAUUUAAGAUUUAUAUAUGAUUGAAUUGUUUUUAUAUGUAUAUAAUUUUUGAUUGUUUAUAUAAUCAUCUAUAUGUUAGGACUAUACAUUUGGAUAUUUUCUUUUACUAACUUAUCAUUAAUUUUUUUUUAAUAUUUUCAAUUUUGAAGUUACACUAAUUUUCAGGAUAUUUAUAUCAGAUUUAUAUAUAUCAGAUCUUUACUUUUUUUUUGGACAACAUAAGAUGGAAAAUAAAAAUAUUAAAAAUUGGAUUAAGCUUAUAAUUUGAAGUAUAGUUUGGUUAUGGACCAUAUUAAGACAACAUAAAAUUUUGCAGCCCGACUUUUAUUAUACUUAAGACCCAAAUAUAGAAAGAUGAUAGUAUUAUUUGUUUGCAACCGAUAUUUUGUAUAGGAUUAAAGUUAGGUUAACAUGAUAUAUAUCAUUAACUACUACGAAAGGUCAUUAUUAAUGUUUUCUUAGAUUACGAAAAACAAUUAGGCAGGUGUCAAAGCUUUUUCUUAAUCUUCAAUAUAAAUUUCAUAAUUUAAGUUAUAAAUAAUUUCGUUGCAAAGAAAAAUAUUUGAUAUAUAAAUUUGUUUGGUAAUAAUAAAACAACUUAAUUUCUGUAUUAGUCUUUAUAUAAAUUUCUGUAGGUGAGGAAGACCUGAGAACCGAACAAUAUUUUUCUUAUUUUCUUUUAUUAACAAAACAAUUUUGAAUAGUUGCGUCUCUUUGCUAUUUUUUUUAUCAAAUCGUCUCUUUGCUAUUAAUAAAAAACAACACUUAAAAAAAUCAUUACUUUCCGAUUUAUAGCAAAAGCAUGCAACGCUUAAGCCAUAAUAUAUAGGAAACUUUGAUUUAAAUUGUUGUCCAAUUAAUACGCACUAAGAGAAUAUCUUACACUUUAAAAAAGUUAUUAUAUUGGAUCACAAUAUAAAUUAACCUUGAGCCAUUUAAAGAAAGUCUCAUUUAGUGAGAUCGCCGAGUAUUAAUUUAUUGAAAUCGCCGAGUAUUAAGUUUAUCAUAUAAUAUACAUUUAUAUUUGAAUUAAUAUAAGUUUUUCUAGCAAUUAGAUUUUGGGCUUACUAAUUUUUCAAUUGAUUCUUAUGCUACCAGGUAAGUCAAAUUGGCAUCUUAAUUAAGUGACACCUAAGCAAAACUCUAUUUUAAUUAAUACAAAUUUAAAGUUACAAUUUUUAAAAUGUUUCUCUAUGGAGGAUUACUUACUAUGUUGCAUGGAAACUCGGUUGAAUGUACGUUUCACGUUUUGGAAACAUUUCGGAAUCAGAAUCUCUCGGAAACUCGCGGAAACGCAUUGGAAACUCGUUUCUUAAAAAUCUCAGUUUGGAAACUUAGUGGAAACUUGCGUUUCUAUUUUGAAAACUCGCAUUUCUGUUAUGGAAACGCUAGAACUUUCCAAUUGGUUAUGAUUUGCGGUUAUAAUUUUUAUUUUAGUUAAACUAUUUAAUAUUUAAAUAAUGAGUUUUGUUAUUUUGAAUUUUUAUAUGAUUUUGAUAUUUAAUGAUGACUUAUUUUUUUGAUAUGAUUAAAUAGAAUGGCUAUUUGUUUAUUUGUAUUCUAAGAUAUACUACACAUAAUAAAAAUGAAUGUAAAUAUUAAUCAGUUACAUAUAUAUAUAUAUAUAUAUAUAUAUAUAUAUAUAUAUAUUUAUAGACGUUUCUAAAACGUUUCCAAAGCAAAAAAAAUCAAAAAUCACGUUUCCACGUUUCGAAACGUUUCGUUUCCACCUAUCCGUUUCCGUUUCCAUGCAACCUAGAUUACUUAUAUAAAAAUGGCAAUUUACACGACAAAUUUAUAGAAAAUCGCAAUUCACAUGUCAUUUAAUUAUAGAAACUCACAGGAAGACAGUCGAUAGCCUAUAUAUUUAUGUUUGAUAUCAGUAAAGGUAUAUUAAGUUGUUACCAAAAACCUUCAUAGGAUCACAUCCCCUAUAUAUUUUCUGUAUAAGACUUUCUAAAUUGCAUUGUUCGGUAUAAGACUAUAUUAAUUUGCUAUUGAUUAUGACAUAAAUUGUUUCCAAAAACAGAGAAAAUUUUCUCUUAGCAAGUAAGUAGUUUGGCUUGAGGAACACGCAGAAUAUAUAUGAAUUUUUUUUUAUCAACAGAAUAUACGUAUAUGACUUUAAUUCAGUUUAUUCUAUUAAUUAAGAACCUAAAAUAUCUAAAAUAAUUGAUAACCAAACAGAAUCCAAAUUAGUGAAUUACAGUGUAUAACCAACACAAGAAUGUUACCAAACCAAAAUCAUAUAUUUAUCUGAUCUAUUAUGCAACAAACUAACGAUCCACGAAGUUAUCUGUUAUCCCUUAUGUACCAUACUAACAUUAACUUAUGCUUGAUGUUGAACAUGUGUUAGCUUUCCUCUCAUGAGUUUGAAUUUGUAGAGGUUUUGUAAUCUCUACUAAGAUAUAACUCAAAAUAUAAGUAUAUGAACCUGACUCACAUCAGAUUGUCCAUGUUUAUGUUUAUAUGGUGAUUAGUUCUCAAACAAUUGGUUAUAUCUUCAUGUUAGAUAGAUUAUAAAAAAAAUCCUAAUCCGAAAUCAACCUAGACUUCAUGUGAGUUAAUUGGUGUGUCAAGACUCUCUUAUAUUAGGACCAAAUCAGAGCCAAGACUCUCUCAUAUUAGGACCCACGAUUUGUAUAUAUAAGCUUUGUAAUAUUGAACAUGUUAUUGGAAUCUUUUUCAUAUAUAUGCCAUAAGAGUUUUUCCUUUUUCAUUAGUGUAUUUGUGAGUUUGAAAUUGGGAGUGAAAGCUUUGAGUAUUGAACAUGUUCUUGGGUCUUUGUUCAUAUAGAUGCCAUAAGACUUUUUAUUUUUCGUUAGUGUUUUCGUAAAUUUCAAUUUGGGAGUGCAAGCUUUGUAUACAUACAUGUUCUUGAUAUCUUUGUUCAUAUUGACAUGAUAAAACGUUUUCCUUGUUCAUUAGUAUAUUGAACAAAUCAUUGUAUAAAAAAAAAACCGAUAUCAUGUAAACGGUCGAAGUCUUGAUUUCGGUUUGAAGUGAUCAAGAGAGAAGAAAAAUAUUUUAAAUCAUCAAUAUACGGCUCAGUAUAGAACUUACUACAGAGGGCUCGGUUAAUUGAUUAUUAGAAACAUUUUAAUGUAAAGGUGGUCGUAUGAUUAGGCCAUAGUGGCAUUUUUUUGUAAAUUCUCUAGCAAUUGGAUUUGGACAAACAUAUUUUUCAAUUGAUUUCUAGGCUGACACGUAAGCAAAAUUAACAGCUUAAUUAACUGACACAUAAGCAAAGAGGUUUUUUAAUUAGUACAAAAUACAGGUUAUAACUUUUUAAAUGUUCUUCUAUUAAUAUAUAGGGGAUUAUUUUGUUUUAAUCAAAUGAUAGUGUUUUAUUUAUUUUUAAUAUCAAAACUAAAUACUAUUUUAGUCACAUUUGGUAGCUGGAUUAAAUGGAGACCAGAAAUUAGGCGUGUAACAUUUGAAGCAAAACAUUUUGAAGGGUAAAACAAUUACGGUUUACAAAAAAAAACAAUUAUUAUGAGUUUUCGAAAAAGCGAUACAUCUAUGGAAGCAACAAUUUCGUUGAUAACCCUUUUUUCAAAAAAAAAAACAUGUGCAUUGAACUUACAUUUUGGGUUUCUUCUCCAUAGCUUCUUUCUUUAGUCAUCACUAACCUUGAAAUUCAAGGGUAAAACAAAGACAGAUGUAUAAUUGUUAGUUGAGUAUAUUCUGUUAUAGAAAACAUAUUUGUAAAAAAAAACCGAUUAGUAAAUAUUCCAUUUGUAUCUGCUAUAUAUUACCUAAAAUUGCUGACAAAAUUCUGAUAUUUUUUCUUGUUUGAAAAAAGCUUUGAAACUGGAGUAUAUUUAAGUACCAUCUUCAACCUCAAUCAUGCCUAAAGAAUUAAAAAAAUGAGAGAACACUGAAUUGAAAAUGAAAGCAAAUUAAAUCUGAAAUAAAAACUUGUAUAGACCCUUUACUACACUCAAAACACAAGAAGAAAAAGAUGUAGAAGAAUUAGAAACGAUGGUAGAGAAAGACAUGGUAGGGAGAAGAAAUAAGUUUUUUGAAUUUAUAAAAGAGUUAAUUGGUGUUAAAAAAACAGAGGGAGUGAUUGGUUGGGUUGUAGGAAGUGACUUUAGCUUUAAUUUCCAUCUACAACCUUAAAUACUACCAAUCAUGUUUUAUUUUAGUUUUUAAAGCUACAACAAAAAAACUAAAGCUACAGCAAAAACAUACAAAAAAUGGUUGUAAAAAUCUUAUUUUCUAAGGCCCAACCAAUCACCUCUUCUAGUUAAACAGUUUGAAUCGUGACAUGAUCUUUAAUUAUAAAUAACAGUUCUUUUAAGAAAUUUGAACGUGUUGAUAAAAAAAAGAACGUGUUGACAUUGACAUGAAAUUUUUUAGGGAUUCAGUUCUUUUUUACCAAAGAAUUGAAAAUAAAAAAAAAUUAAUUGAAUUUAAAUUUUCUAAAAGCACAAUUUCCAUGUGUCAGAUUUUUAUUAGGUGAAUGACUUGUACUUUUUUUUUUUUUUUUUUUUGAUGAAAUGUUAAAUUUAUUGAUCAUCAUGGAAAAGAAUAGUUAUGUACAAAAUGAAUCUAGAAUUUCAAAAAACUUUGCUCUUUGCCUCUAUCCUUACCCAAUAUGGGCCUCAAACCAUCGCUGCAUCAGUCUCGUUAAUCCUCUCUUCUCAUAGUAUCGAGUUGACAUAAUCCUCUGUUUUAUAGUCUUCUCUAUCACCUUGGCAAGCUGGUUUGCUGGUCUACUUCGCUGUGUGUGCCGUCUCUCGUUACGUUCCCGCCAAAUGUAAUAUAUAGUAACUUGUAAUGCUAGCCUUAGGAGGAUAGAAACAAGUCUGUCAUGUGCUGAGUGGAGAAUACGAGCCAAAAUUUCGUUCCAGUCAGGCGAUGGCGCCGGUCGGAGUAAAGAUCCAAUAAUCUGCAACCAUAAACCAUAUGUAUAUGGGCAAGCAAAAAACAAAUGGUCUCUUGAUUCCUCUGGUUCUCCACAGAAAGUGCAACCUUGUAUUACUCCCCAAGUUCGCAUUCUAGAUCCAGUAGAGAGACGAUCUUUAACAGCUAGCCAGGUUAUAAAAGCAUAUCGCGGAUUACUUGUACUUUAGUAUAUAAAGGAUUACUCACGCUCUCUUGUUUUAAUUCCCUUUAAAAUUUAUUUUAUAAAAAAAAAUAUUUUAUCAGUUUAUGUUUAACAGAAGCUUGAAUCAUAGUUCCUUGCUAUAUAACAAUCGUAUACAAAGCUGAAUUUCAUCUAUUCAAACAUAUUUUAGAUACUGUAUAAUUUAAAAUAUAAAUGUUUUUACCUUUUUCCAAGAAAAGUUCAGGAUAAUUUUCCAAGUUGAAAAUAACUUCAUGUUUCUGAUAUUAAUACUGGAACAAAGCUCUGAUUUUCUACCAUUUAUAUUAUGAUAAAACCCUCUACUUGAAUCAUGCAUAUAGAAUCAUAAAAAAUUGUUUCAGAAGAAAAGAGAAUAGAAGAAGAAGAAAGAGAGAAAACAACUAUAGAAAAUAAUUGUUGUUUGAAUGUUAUGUAAGAGAAAAAAACAGUUUAAAGUUAAUGAAUUAAUAUUGGAGCGUGAUGGAUGGUGCCAUGAGAAAAAAUAGGGAUUUGAAAUUUGCAGAUACGAAAAUAUUUGAAUUAGAAAACCGUGGCUUAAUUUUUUUUUCUUAGGUUUUAUAAAAAAAUAAAAAUUACAUGUGUCAAAAUCUAAUUGCUCUAGUGACUUGUGCUUUAGUAUAUAAGAGAUAUAAAUGGUGGCUAGAUUCGUGUUUCGAUCAAGACAAUGAAAAGUUGUUCUACAUUUUCAUGCCUUGAUAUGUUAUUAUAAAACAUUAAAAAUUUCCAUAAAAAUACCCAAACUAAAUUUCAUUAAACUUUUUAAUAUCCAAAAUUUUUUGCUACCAUUUAAUACUCCAAAUAAUUAAAAUUAAUACUAUUAAAAGGUAAGGAAUCCUAAAAAAUCUACUUAUACAAGGUUGUUGCACCUAUUUAUUUUUUAGUCCAACCUAUUAUAUACAACUAAAUAUUAUUAACUAUUCCCUUAUUAUAUAGCAACCAAAUAAUAUCUUCUAACAUUUAAAUAAAUCUCAUUCACUUUAAUAAGAUCAUGACUAUCAAUUUAACAUAUAUAUAUAUUUGAUAUAAACGGUACCAAAAUUUCAAUACGUAGAGGUCAUUGUCAUAUAUGUCAUCCUCCUCCAUUAGAUCAAAAUUUUCUUACGAGAUCAACUUUUGAAAUAUAAAUGAGCCAUGUCCUAUUACAUAAUUGAUCAAACCUGGAGAGUAUUUUUCACCCAAAAUUUUAUAAAACGAAUCAAUGAAUUUUGCUAGGUCUGGGGUUUUUGGACCUAAUUAGGUAUUUAGAAAAAAAUUAUUUGGGUUUGGAUCGGUUUCGUUCAGAUCUGAAUGGUUUCGACUCCAUAAUUCAAAUACCUAUUAAAUAUAUGUUAUUUUUGUAUGUAACGGGUAUGGAUCCGUUCAGAUAUUUAGGACUCAAAUAAAACUCGAUAAACAUAAAUAUACUCGAAACACGAAAAAUAUCCAAAAUCUAAACAAAUACCUGAAAAUCAGAAAAUACUCAAAAGACCUAAAAUUGUACUUGAAAUCUGACCCGAAGAACCAAAAAUACCCAAAAUUUUAUAUGAAUACCCAAAUAUAUUUUUAAAAUUUGAUUUUGUACUCGAAAUCCAAAACUAUAACCGGAAAUUCAAACCAAAACUCAAAAAUAUAUGUAUACCAAAAAAAUAUCCAAAAUACACAAAUAUAUAUAAUUUACACAAACAUUUUGGAUACUUUGGCUCCCAAACGGGUUUCGGGUAGGUCUCAGACGCGAACAGAGACCUACAUUUCCAAAAAAAUACGUAUUUUUCUCUGGACCGACACGAACCGAACCAAAAUUUUCGAGUUGAUUUUGGUUUGGGUUUUCGGGGUCCAUGUAAAAUACCCAUGCAUAAGAGAGAAUUACAUAAGAUUUAUACUGAAUUCCAAAUAAAGUAAUUCAUGAAUUAUAUAAUAUUUUUUAAAAAUUAUUUCUUUUAUAUAAUUUGACUUUGUAACAUAAUAAUAUAAAAUAAUCUCACAAUACUAAUUCAUAUCAAAAUUUGUUAUAACAAAAGAACCCGCGCUUAUCUAGUUUUCAUUUUAAUACACAAAAUUUUAAAAUUAUGCCCCUUUUAAUAUACAAAACUUGUUUCAUUGAAAAUACUAAUAAGUUUUAAACAAAAUCUAAGAAAAAAUAAAAUUUUCUAAUUUUAUUUAAAAAUUUAAGAAAAAGGUAAACAAUUAGGGAAAUUUUUUUAUAAUUUAAUUUUGAAGGAAAAUAAAUAAAGUUGUUUUCUGUUUCAGAAAACAAACUAAAUUCAAUAUUUAAAACUUAAAACUUUUAUUAAAAAAUUGAAGAUUAUACAAAAUUAAGUUACUUUUAUUUCACAAACAAAAAAUAAAAUUUGAAUUUUUUGAGAUUAUUUUUUUAAAUUUUAGAGAUUUUUUGAAUUCGUUUGAAAUCUAUUAAUAUAUUUAAUUAAAAUGAAAAAAAGUUUGGGUAUUAAUAUGGGCAUAUGUUUAAAAGUUUGUAUAUUAAAAUGAGCAAAAUAAUUAGUUGGUUUAUUAAACUGGGUAACGAAACAGUUUGGCUAUUAAAAAAUUUAACAAAAUUUAGUUGGAAUAUUUUUGGAAUUUUCCCUAUUUAUAAUUAUGUCCAUGCCUUUGAGUUUUGAGCAAUUCUGUAACAUCCGCCGUUCGUUAGAAUGACAUUCAGCCAUAACAAAAAUUUCUUUAUGGAUCAGCACUAGCUUUUUUAGCCAAAAUGAACCGUCUUAUAUUUAAACUUAACUCCAAUAGAAAACCGAAGUCUUAAAUAUCUUAAACGAAACUUGAAGAAAACAAACAUCCAUUUUUUCAAAAGUUGGUACCACCCAAGACUUUUGCUCUUGCAUAUUUUUCAUAAGUACCUGCAAAAAUGGAGGGUGAAUAUUGGGAUUAUUUAGUGACGGCAUUCUAAAAACCUACGGACUCAUGUCAAGACAAAUAAUACAACAAGCAUAAUUAUAAACUAAUAUCACUUACCCAGAGUCGGUCCUAGAAAAUAUGUGGCUAGAAACAAAAGUGAAAUUAUUGAAACUUAAGUCGGGUUUUGCUAGACCGCAUGAGCGUCGACCAAUACACCAGGAGUAUAGAUCAACACUACUUCCAAUUAUCAACUCUGACUUCAGCACUUAGGGUUUUCUUCACUUCAAGCUCCAAAUGGCUCCAAAACCUCCAUAAUACUCCAAAACGUACAUAAACCCAAAAAGAUCUUAAAACAUAUACGAAAAAACAUAAAGACUCUAUAAAUGAACGUAUACCAUGGUUAAAACCGGUAAAAAGUGAGGUAUAUCAACUCUCACAUACUUACCCUUUGCUUGCCCUCAAACAAAACUAGAAUAAACUUGUGGAAAAAGUUUGAAAACACAUAGGCUCACCUUUCUUUUAUUAGACAGAAAGUGUCUCACAUCGGUAGUUGGAAGGGAUCCUAAGUAAUAUAUAAGAUAGAUGGGCCACUCCACUUAUUACCAAUUGGUUUUAAGUUGGAAGUCCAUCUAGCUUAGCAUGGUAUCAGAGCCCAAUCCACGAAGUCCAACCCGAUCCAUCGAUCUGGCCCAAAAUUGGUCCAUCGAUCCUCGCCCGAGCAUUCUGAGAUUGACACUCAAAGAGCCAUCAUCUCGAAGGGGCGUAUUAGAUACAAAGUGUCCCACAUCGGUAGUUAGAAGAGAUCCUAAGUAAUAUAUAAGAUAGAUGGGCGACUCCACUUAUUACCAAUUGGUUUUACCACUCUGUUGGUUGUUGGAAUAUGAUUUCUGUUGGUAGUUGUUGUACUGAAAGUUGGGCUCUUUUUUGUACCAGCUACCAUUGUUGUUAAUGAAACACAGCUCUUCUUGACCUUCCAAACCCUUAACCUCAUAGACAACAGGUGGUGUCUCUUGGUUUGGGUUACCAACAAAGUUCAUCUGCUCUUGGGUGGAUUUAUCAGCAAUGAGUAUGUCUAUCUUAUCCUGUAGAGCCUUUAACUCCUUCCUCGGCUGCUUGUCAUAUGUUCUACUGCCUCUGUCGUGGUCUCCACUGUAGACUGCGUCACUCUUUACCAUGUUGUCAACCAGCUCCUCUGCAUCUUCUUCAGUUCUUCCCAAGAAGAACCCAUUGCUAGCUGUAUCUAAUCUGGCUCUGUACUUAGGAAGAGCACCCAUGUAGAAUGUGCUUAGCAAGCUUUCCUUAGAGAAACCAUGGUGUGGGCAUUGAGCUUGGUAGCCCUUGAAUCUCUCCCAGGCUUCACUGAAUCCUUCCAAGUUCUUCUGUUGAAAGCUGGAAAUCUCAUUUCUUAGUUUAGCAGUUCUUGAAGUAGAGAAAAACUUCUCCAAAAAUACUUUCUUGCAGUCAUCCCAGGUGGUGAUUGAGUCGCUGGGUAGAGACUUCUCCUACUGACGUGCCUUAUCCCCCAAAGAGAAAGGGAAUAGCUUGAGCUUUAAGGCAUCCUCGGACACACCAUUAGUUUUUGACAACCCACAGUAGCUGUCGAACCUGUCCAAGUGAUCAAACGGGUCCUCUACCGCCAAGCCAUGAUACUUGUUGUUCUCGAUCACGUUGAGGAGUCCUUAUUUGAUCUCAAAGUUGUUGGCUGCCACAGCAGGUGCUCGGAUUUCUAAUAUAUGACCAUGAAUGUUGGGGCGGUCAUAAGUGCCAAUGGGUCAAGCUGCUCGCUGUGGGUGUUGUGGAACGUUGUUAGCUCUAUUGGCGUUCGCAUCAUUUUGAGGUUGGUCUCCCAUAUCAGUAUCCAAUCUCUGCAAGUGAGCAUGUUGCUCUUCUUCUCUUCUCUUUCUAGCACACUCUCUCUCUAAAGCUCUGAUGUCUGCAACUCUUGGAACUAGGUUUGAUGGACCCCUGCUCCUCAAGUUCGUACACCUGAAAGUUAAAGGGAGGUGAAGAAGGAGAAUCAGUAACAAAAGAAAAUAAAAAUGACUUAGUCUCAAGCAAGUGACUGAAUCUCAAUGUUCAAAUCUACUCAGAAUUUGGCAACGGCACCAAUUUGAUGUUAGGAGUUUUCAAGGCUGGUAAGACAAAUGAUGUAGUAUAAAUUGUCGAACCAAUUCUAAGGGAUUUCAAAGCACUGAGAAUGCAAGUACUUACUUAAUCUAAGUGCAACCGAAGAUUUAAAAGAUUUCUAAACUAGUGAUUAAUGCAAAUGCAGUUGCAGAAUAAUAAAAGCGAUAAAUGAAGUAACUUUCUUUACUAAGGGAAGAGAUAACUCAUGGACAUAGGGAUUAGAGCUUGGGUGAUCAAGUUUUGAACAAAGGAUGGCAAACGAUCAAUCAAACUAUCAACCUUAAGCUUAGACACAAUUCUAAACAAGCUCUAUGUCUAGAUGAAUGUUCAUUUACUAACACAUUUCAAACAUCAAAUAUCUUUGGUUGAAUAAUAUAAAAGCAAUCAUUACUAACAAGUCUAAUGGCUAUCUUAGCACCUCUAACAACAAAUGUCUUUGGCAAAGUAUGUUAAAAGCUUAGAAGAGUUGUCUCAGGCAUUUCAUCAAACACCUUUUGGGUGGAAAAUGCCUAAAGAUCAACUUUUGAGAGGCCAACUCAGAAGAUGCAUUAUGAAUACGCUACUAGCAAGGAUUAAGAAUGAUCACUAAAACAUCCUAGGUCUAACCUAAUCACCCUUAAUCUCCCUAACCCAUGAAUUCAAAAGGUGAUUACUCACUAAUCUCCAUGAUUCCUCUUAAACCCAUAUUGAAUUUCAGAUUAAUCAUGUAGAGAAAUGCAGAAAAUCAAUAUGAAAACAACAUGAUUGCAAUAACAAAAUGAUCAACUGAUUCAAGGAGAAGAACUUUCCAAGAGGUUUUUGGUGGUUUUUCUUAAGAUAAAAGAUUAUCUGCCUCCAAUGGCUUACAAAAGGUACUUAAACAUAGGUUUAGAAAGUGUAAAACGUGCAUAACAAAAUGACCAAAAGGCCCUUAAUUAAUCAUAAGUUCAACCAAAUAGACGACGCGCAGUGACUUUGGGUGGUCGCUCCAACACGUCGCUCGGGGAUUCGGGAGCGACCUGGGGUGGUCGCUCUGGCAGGUCGCUCCGGGUCCAUUUUUUGUAUCCCCAGAUGAUAAAAGGGCGAGCGACUUCGUGGCGUCGCUCCGGUAAGGUCGCUCUGAGAGGUAAGGCACAACGACUUCAUGGCGUCGCUCCGGUAAGGUCGCUCUCAUGCACUGCUCGUCCAAUGAUCACCUUUAUUACCUCUUUUGAGCUCCAAAUGUCUCCAAGAACUCCAUGUGGUACUUCAAUACCUAAUAAAGACUCAUGUAUGCAAAAUAAAACCUAAACAUGGCUAAAUCCUAGUCUAUAUGAUCAAAAUGCACAUGGGUGAAUGGAUAAAACAAUGGAAAUAUGCAAUAUAUCAAAAGACGAGUGAGUGUUGUACCUGAGUAGGAGUGGCGAUCGUCAUAAUUAAGUGCCCAUUGAUACUUUGCGUGAUAACGGGUGGUGUGGACCGACACCUUGUGAUUCAUAAUGGCAAUGUCCAACAAUGAUCAGGGCCUUCGGGCGAUUUGCUAGAGCGAAGGGGCAAUGUCCUGUUGAUGUUCGGUGAGGCUCGCCUUCGGAGCAGAGCACGAAGAGCUUAAUGUGCUGGGAGAUAUGGGGAAGAUGCAUAGCACAUGGUGAUUGAGGAGAUUUGGAUGGUGUGGGACAGUUUCCAGAGGUGGAGAGUUGGUCGACGGUUGAGGAGCAAGAGGCGAUACAGAGAACCCCAAAGAAACCGGCUCUUCCGGCAAGACUCACAGAUCUGAAGCUUGGGAAGGGUAAACCAUUCCGGCGAGGGUACAAUAGGUGAGCAACAUGAGAGGCGUCGGAUCUGGAUUCCGAACUGGUGGAAAUGCAUUACGACCGCAGCGACGAGACGGCUCCUCGUUACAAUAUUCAAUUUCAUAUUUAUUUUGAUAUGAUAUCUAAAUAAAAGUGUUUAAAAUUUUAAAAACUACCUUUAAUACUCAAUUAUAUAUAAAUAAAUAUUAAUUUCUUAUGUUUUUCUUUUAAAUUUUAUUUCAGGUAUAUCCGAACCGAAAUGAUAUAAUCCGAAUAUGAAUGACAUAUAGUUACUUUAUGGGUUUAAAGAAGUAAUACAAAUCAGAACUAAAAUUGUCGGGUUAUAUCCAAACCCGGCUCGUACGAAGAAGAACUAGGAUGUGCAACAAAUUAGAACCGAACACAAAAUAUCUGAUCCAAACAUCAAUGGGUAUCCAAACGCCUAUGUCUAGAUACAAAUCUCGGGUGAUUUCACUACAAGAAAAAUGGGCUUUACUAGCGGAUGAAAAAAGUUAUCUAACGAUUUAACAGCGGUUUAAGGAACGCUGUAUCAUCGCCCGUCAUAGUAGGUAUGACACAUUAGAUAAAACUUUUUCGCGGUGCUAUCGUUUCUUCGGAAUCGAUAGCGCUUUUGUAUUUGCAAUAGUAACCUAUUUAAUAGCGCGUCAUUAAUGUUAUUAGUUAUAUUAUUAACAGCGUUUUCGAGAAGUUAUUUUUAAUUCAUAUAUAGCAAUUAAUAGUUCCUGCUAUAUAUAUUAUUUUGAAAUCAUAGCAGCUAAUAUUGAUGCUAUUAUAUAGCAUAUUUAAAUAAUUAUAAUAUUUAUAUAUUUCAUUUUAUAAUUUAUAUAUAUUUAUUUUUAUAUAGACUCGAUUUUUUUUUGUCAGACAUUAUAUUAUGAAACAUAAACUUCAAAGAUUCAACAUUAAAACAUUCUUGUCAAAUAUUACAUAAUAGUAUAACAAGUUCAAAGUGUGCUGCAACUAGCAUAAUAGCAUAACAAGUUCAAAAGCAACAGAUCUUUCUUGCAAUAAAACAAGCUUGUCAUUUGGCCAAGCCACCGUGCUUCCAACUGCAUCACCAAUGUAUUCAAUUUCUGAGUUUGGCAUCCACACUCGUGCCCCAUCGUACUCGGAAACCUCUACCCAAACCUUAGAAGCAUUGGGACCUAAAGGGACGAAAUGCACCUUCUCUGCUGGAUCAGUUGAGAACACACGACCUAAAGCCACUCUGUGUCCAGAGUUAUUACAGUCCAAGAGACCGCACUUCUGUUUACCACCUUUGCUGCUACAACCACUGCUGUUACUACCACUCUACAUCAAAAGACAGUAACAAAGACAAUCAACACAAUCAUCGUUGAAUCCAACUAUCAUCUAAACAGAAGUUCAUACACCAACAAGAAUCACACUACUUUAGUUAAGUAAUAAAUAAGAUGUUUCAGAAACAUACCUGAAUGGAAUUCUUGUUUGAUUCUUUUGGUGAAUCUUCAUCAGGUAGUAGUAUCUUAUCGAUAGGCCAUGCAAUUUUCCCAUGUAGGGCAUCACCCAUCUUGGUCAUUUCACGAGUAGGUCUCCAAAUAAAAGCAUCAGAUUUCACAACCAAAUCCACUCUAAGAAUUGCAGCAUUCGGUCCUAGCAGUACUUGGUUCACUAGUUCAACAGGAUCAGUCGACAACAAUACACACUCAGCAAUUAAUUCUUCUUCUGAUUUCCAGUAGUCAAAGAUUUGAACUUUUCCAAAAGACGCAUCAGUAGGCUGAAUCAUUAAAAAAAAAAAAAUUCAGUAGUCAUGUAUUCAAUGUAUAUUAGGGAAGAUCUUAACAAUAUAUAAUUACCUCUGAUCCGUUGAUGUUACCAUUGCUUGAUAAGUCAAUAUCAUCGUCCAGGAUUAUCUUAUAAGCUGGCCAUGCAAUUUUCACUCCAACCGCCUGAGCAAGCCUAGCACAAGUUGCUGUAGGUCUCCAUAUAGAUGCUGUUUCUACUGAGACAGACUUCACUACUACAGCAGCCGCAUUUGGACCCAAUGGAAUUCGACCAAUCUUAUAAUAGGGUUCACUAGAGUGGUAUUCUCCUUCAGCAACAACGACAUCAUCAUUGGAAACCCAAUCAAGUAGUUGGCACCUUAUUCCUCCCUUGCUAAUAUCACUUACUUCAUAGCUAGAACGAUAAUCGUUUUUUUUCUAACACAGACAGAAAUAAACAAGAUUCUUAAAACCAGAUAGCACUUAAAAGGCUAUAUAGUCAAAAAUCUAUUGUAAGGAACUUACCUUUUGGCCGGCUAAGUCUUUGACCACAUUUUGCAAAUCUUCAAUCUUGUUGAUUAGUUCUGCUUGUGUAUCUUGAAGCUUCUGAACAUGGGAGUCUCUAGCAUGUAAGAAUGCCAACUUGGUUGCAGUAACCCCUCUCCCCAUCCCCCUAAUUCUUCCUGGUUUAUCCUUUCCUAGCACCUGAGUGACAGCAUCUUCACCGACAUUAUCUGAACUUGACCCCAUUUCACUGUCAAUUUUCUUAAUCUUCUCCUGCAUUAACAUAUAUAACGACUGUUGUAAAGUGUCCUCAUACUAACAAACUUGCAAGUAAAUUUAAAUCUACGAAAUAAAAUCAUCUUAGUAUUGUUUCUGCAAAUUCUUGACUCACAGGUCUUCCAUCAGAAUGCGUGUGACCAGCGACCCAAACCUUUGUUCUAGUUACCUUUCUAGGAUCACUACUGUUUUUCCUCUACAAUUUAUAUGAAUUUGUUGUCAGCAAUUGAAGUUAUUUCUAAUUCCAAAGGUUUGGAAAAUACAAACAUACCAUCUCAUUGCAAGUCGAAUCAUCCCUUUACGACUAGUGGUAUGAGGAAUUUGUCCCUUCCUGAGUUCCUUGUAUUUAUCACUUUGUUCCUAAACAAGCACAUUACAAUUUUAAUCAAUUAAUAUUAAUAUACACAGACUCUCAUCAAUCCACAUUUUAUAUUACCUUAAAAGCUGUGGUACAUCUUCCUUUAACCCAAUUAUUCCACGCAGUCGCAGAUUGUAUGUUGCUGGGCUUAAUUAUCUGUAGUUGAGCCUUGUUUUUGGUAGCUCUGACUUUCGAAGACAAUCUGGAUUUAAAGGCUCUCCACAAACAACCCAUCUGCUUAAAAACAACAUCUUUUUGCCAUUCUUCUUUCAAGUUGAAUCUUCCCUGUUAAGAUUUUGAAGUUAGUAAAAGGCUUACUACAUUAAUCAGAUAUGAAAGAGUUUGAAUAACUUAACCUGAAUUUCCUCCCACAAAGCGUCUUUUGUUUUCUCAUCGAGAUGUCUCCAGUCAUCUAGAAGUACUGGGACAUGCUCUCUCACGAGAGGACCUAGGAAAGAUGAGAGUGUAACUGACCCACGACCAACAUGCUCACCUAGAGCAUUAAACUCCAUGUCAACCUUGUCCUCUAUAUGCUUAGCUACUUUGCGCAUUUUUGUUGGCCCUCUAGUCUUCUUGACUGUGUUAUCGGACUGCUCUGUCUGUGUCUGUCUUUGUGGCUCCGACUGAUUACUGAAUUGUUCUUGUUGUGAUGGUGGUUGUGUUUCAUCGUCGUCAUCUUCGUUAACAUCUCUCUCUGCUUGUGUAACAUCUUCAGGAUCCACACCUUCAUCUUCUGUCUCUGGGGUAGCAUCUUGAACUCCCAUAUCUUCAGGUCCAGUUUCAUCGACUUUUUCAGGUUCUGUUUCUUCCACUUCCUGAUGAUCUGCUUCUUCUUCUGAAUGAUAGUCUUCGUCCAGGGUUGGGAUCGUAGCAUUUUUCUUGGGUUUUUUCUUAACUAAAGAAACCUCAGGACUAACAUCAAGACCUGCUUGGCGUUUACUGCGAUGGCACUUCCCUGUAACAGCUUUGGAAUUCAUUGCACCAAAUAACCUGAAAGAAAAACAAACUCAUCAUUAUUCAUAUAUUAGUUGACCCUCACAGUCAUUCCUAACACAGAAACUCUCGUCAUCGGAUGAUUGAUCUCCCAUAUCUUCUUCAGGCUGGACUGCUAACGUUGCAGAACAAAUCUCUUCUUCUGUCUCUAACUCAUGAUACCCUCGUGGUGGUGCUCUCAUCACUACAUACCAAGGAGAGCUAUCUUCCUCUCUAGAAUAGAACACUUGUUUAGCUUGCGCAGGCAUAAUGUACGGAUCGUUUGCAAAUGUUGACUGGUUCAUAUGGAGAUUCACUAGUGUGAAACCGUCUUCCUCUUUAAGUCCUCUACCUUUAUGAGCCCAACUGCACCUAAACAAAGGCACUUGAAACAUGUGAUAGUCAAGCAAAAUGAUCUUCUUUAUCACGCCAUAGUAUGUUACUAUAUCAGCCUGUUGCCUCGAAUCUUUGGCACUAGCUCUGCACAUCGAAAAGGCUUCAUAUGCUACUCCACUGUUCUGUGUCUUCCUCUGCAUAUCGUCUGUAUGGUAUCGAUAGCCAUUAACUACAAAUCCCCUGUAGGUGUGAGCAAUAUUUCUUGGUCCAAAAGCAAGCCAUCUCAGCCUUUGCGAAUGGUCCUUGGAGUUAUUUGGUAUCUGAAAAGGAAACAUAUCAGAACAUAUACAUACAGAAUUAUUAAUACAAAAAAAAUAUUAAUCAUACCUUCUCUUUAAUCCACUGUGAAAACCUUUUUGUAUGAUACUUCCAUAAGAUGGUUUCAUUUUUUGCACAUCUUACAUCCGAAUUUUGAAGUUCUUCUAAAUGCAUCCUGUAUAUUGAUUAAGUUAGUGUGAGAGAAGAUAAAAACACAUGUACCAAUCUUUGGAGUUUUAACUUACUGAACAUAAGGGUCGAUCACUGCAGUAUUCAUGAGGAUAUACCGGUGAGCAAAAUCUCUCUCUUUGUCAGUAAGACUCACUUCUGUUGCUUUAUGCAGCGUUCGGCCUACAAGAACAUUCUGAGUCGUCUCAACAUCUUCGUUUCGUGUCAUUGCUUCUUCAACUGGAACAGAUUUCUGCAGGAACUCCAUACAAAAUGCAAGGCAUUCACCAGCCAAAUAACCCUCGGCCAUACAAGCUUCUGGUCUUGCAAAAUUCUUGACAAAAGCUUUUAGUGUCUUCAUAUACCUACGAAUGAAAAUAUAAGAUAUCGUCAGUACCAUAUACAUAUAGUAGCAGUGAUUUUUGUUGCUAGAUGCAGUGGAAGAUUACCUCUCAAAGGGAUACAUCCACCUGAAGUGUACAGGGCCACCCAAGCGUGCUUCUCUUGCUAGAUGGAGUGGAAGAUGAAACAUGAUAUCAAACAGAGAUGGAGGAAAGUAUCUCUCUAGCUGACACAUUGUCUCCACAAUUUCUUCUUCUAGUUUAAUAAUCUUCUCUGGAUCAAUGAUGCGUUGACACAGUCUGUUGAAGUAAUUGCAUAUCCAAGUCACUGCAAGACGAGGACCUCGUGGAAGUAGACCUCUCAACGCAACCGGUAACAGAUUCUGCAUUACAACAUGAUGGUCAUGUGACUUCAUGCCGCCAAUAGAGGGAGGAUCCAGUGAGACACAGUUGGAGAUAUUGGCACAGUAACCAUCAGGGCCUCUGAAGUUGGAUAACCUUCUGCAAAAUUUCUUUUUUUCUUCCUUAGAAAGCCAAUACGCAGCUGGAGGCAAAUAAGUCUUCUUUCCCCUAACUUCAGUAUGCAAGUUGCUUCUAAUACCCAUGUCUUCUAAAUCUUUUCUUGCUUUGAGGCCAUCCUUUGAUUUCCUACUAUGCAUCAGAAUAGAUAGCAAUGCAUCAGAGACAUUUUUCUCCACGUGCAUAACAUCUAUGUUAUGCCUAACAGGCAUAUCCUGCCAUAUAUUUUACAAGUCUGUAUGUGAACAAUUAUUCUACUUAAAAACGAGAAGUAAAAUGUUGAAAGAAAAACAUACCUUCCAAUAAGGUAAGUCAAAGAAAAUUGAUUUUUUCUUCCACCGCCAGAGAUCAUCAUCUUCUUUGUACUCGUCAGCUGAAACAACAUCAUCCUCAUCUCCUGUUGUCCUUUUUCGCUUACUCUUCUUACUUAACUUUUUUCCCAAAGUCGUUUUUAAAAUCCCUAAGACUAUCACAAAUUUCAGCACCACUCUGAAUCCUAUUUGCAGUACCAAGCUCCACCGUGUUGUCAAACCAUCUUUUCCUUCUUCUAUAAGGAUGAUUAGGCAUGAGACGCUUCAUGUUCCCCAUGUAAACGUGUUUGCGACUAAACUUUAGCCACCUAUGCGGUGUAUCCUUGCCACAGACAUUACAGGCUUGCUUCCCCUUCACUUUACAGCCAGCUAAUGUACCUAAACCAUGAUAGUCGGUGAUACUCCACAUCAACAUAGCUCUAAGAUUGAAAAUCUCCUUUUUAAACGAAUCAUACACUGCCAUACCUUCUGUCCACAAACUCUUCAGGUCCUCUAUCAGUGGCUGGAGAUAGACGUCAAUGUUGUUGCUUGGUGCGGUUAGGCUAGGUAUCAACAUUGUCAACAUAAUGUUCUCGGAUUUCAUGCACUGAGUCGGACCCAUGUUGUAGUUGACUAAGAGAACAGGCCAUGUGCUAUACUUGGUGUUCUGGAUGGAGAACGGAUUCAUGCCAUCAGUAGAGAUACCUAGUCUUAGGUUUCUUGCUUCAGCAGCAAACUCCGGCCAUUUGCUGUUAGUCUGACCCCAAGUCACGGAAUCCACUGGAUGUCGCAUAGUUCCAUCGGUAGAAGCAUUUGAGGAAUGCCAACACAAGUCCUCCGCCAAACGCUUUGAUCUAAACAUUCUUCUGAACCUGUCUUUUAUCGGAAAAUACCAAAGCACCUUAGCCGGAAUCCCUUUCUUCUCUUCACCAGUAUGCUUAUCCUUCUCCCAUCUUGAUUCACUGCAUCUUGGACAGCUGACCGAAUCCUCAUACUUCUUCCUGUACAAGAUACAGUCGUUCUUGCAGGCGUGGAUGACAUCAUACCCAAACCCAAACUGUUUCAAAAAUUUCUUAACCUCAUCUGUAGACUUAGGUAGCACAUUCUCCUUCGGAAGCAUGUCAUGAAUUAACGCCAAUAACUGAUCAAAAUAGCUCUCAGACAUCCCACUUUUGACCUUAAUCCUGUAGAGUCCCAUGAUCGCAGCAACCUUUGUGUAUUUAGCACACUGAGAGUACAACGGAGUUUCUGCAUCCUCCAAUUUUUUUCUGAACUCAGCUUCUUCUGGUCUGUCAAUACCCGCAAACGCCUCUGCACUCUCCUGCUGAGCUGACUGAUGGUCUUCACUUGCCAUGAAAGCUGUUCUAACCAACUCAUACGCCUCAUUCUCAGACGAGUUGAUAUCACAUGGCUUAUCAGGCCUUAUAUCUCCGUGUUUAGACCAGAAUUUACAAAUCUUGUACUUCGGAUCCAUCCCUCUAAUCACAAGAUGCUCGAAAACUGUUUCACUAGACUGAUGGCAGACAUUGCGGCAAUCAACACAAGGGCAGAACAUUUCAGCUGGAACACCUAAACGGCUCGAUUAAGAAGACACAAAGUCACUGGCUCCUUUCUCAUACUCAAGGCUAUUCCUGUCGAGUUACCACAAGUGAGAGAUAAACAGUUUAGCAUAAUGAGAUAUAAGAAACGAGAAAUUAAAAGAGUGUGAAGUGAAGUUAAUACCUUGGUAACCAAACCCAAGAUUUAUCCAUGUUUCAGCUCCAAACCAAGUUUACAUACAAGUGAUUAACUUUAUCAACCCACAAAAAACAAAACAGAACGAGAGUUCUUAAAUGGAAUUGUUUUGUUACUAAUUUUACCUGAUAGAUUUCUUGAACUUUGAUUUGACCUAGCUACAAAAGAAGACAACGGUGUUAAUAAACCCAGAAAAUUAUAAUCUUCAUCGAGAAACCUAAAGAGCACAAAAACGAUACCUUAAUCGAAAACUGUGGAAUGAAAUCUCCCUGCAACAGAGAGCACAAAAACGAAUCAAUUAAACAUGCAAUUAAAUCACUACUAUGAAAGAGAUAAACGGUUAACAAUCAGAAUUGGAGACAAUGUGAGAAAACCCGAGUUCACCUUCGACUGAUUGGAGAUGGAUUUCGAUCAGAGGGGACGUGAUUUUGCCGAUUCUGGAUGAGAUAAGUAAAGAGUUUGAUAAUUGAGAGUGAGAUUUGAUGUGAGCUAGAUUCAGAGAAAUGAGAGGUUUUGGUUUCUGAUUAUCGAUCGAAUGGAGGAAAUGGGGGAGACACAAACGAGAGAUGGGAGAACCCUAAUUUUUGGGGGUUUCUAUUUUUUUAUUUGGAGCUUAAUUGAUUUUAGGAGCUAAAAAUUUUCUAAGUGUCGCGGGCAUUACCGCGCUAACUAAAGAUAACAGUUUUUAUGUUUCUUUGCUAUAAUACAUAAGCGUCUCCUUCAAAACCCACUACAAGAAAACAGCGUAAUUCUGAUAGACAUUCUGACGGAAAAUGAGAUCCUCGGAAUAUUCUGACGAAUUUCCGAGGAAAACCAAAAUUUGGGUUUCCUCGGCAUUUCCUCGAAAUAUACCGAUGAAAUACCGAGGAAAUAAUAUUUCUCGGAAAACACCGACGAAUAUCCGAGGAUAUAUUAUAGCCGCUACAGAGCCCUUGGGGGAUUUUAAAAAUUCCGAGGAAAUUCCGAGGGAUAAUAGGAUUUAGGUUUUUCCUCGGAAUUUCCUCGGAAUAUUCCGAGACUUUUCCGAGGAAGUAGGGUUUAUAAAACAAAAACAACGUUUUGCGGUUUGAAUAACACUUAUAUAACCUUUAUUAAGUAUCUUAGACUGAUUAUGAAGUCAAAAAAUUGUUUCUUACCCUAUAAUAAACACUUUUCCGAUUGUAUGAACGAAAUCCCCACAACAUAAGAGAAACACUUAUACACUUUAAUGAACGGUAAAGGGAAUACUUACAAUUCGUUUUGAAAUUUUGUUAUUUCAUGGUUUAUGAUCAUCUAUACAAAGAUUCAUCAAUGGUAUGCAUUGCAUUUGUAUAAGAAAUGAUAUAGGGCAAAAAAAAUUGAUGUUUUGAAACCCCAAACAUGUGUUCCUCGGAAUUUCCUCGGAAUAUUCCGAGGCUUUUCCGAGGAAGUAGGGUUUUUAAACCGAAAACAACGUUUUGCGGUUUGAAUAACACUUAUAUAACCCUUAUUAAGUGUCUUAGACUGAUUAUGAAGUCAAAAAUUUGUUUUUUACCCUAUAGUAAACACUUUUCCGAUUGUAUGAACGAAAUCCCCAUAACAUAAGAGAAACACUUAUACACUUUAAUGAACGGUAAAGGGAAUACUUAUAAUUCGUUUUGAAAUUUUGUUAUUUCAUAGUUUAUGAUCAUCUAUACAAAGAUUCAUCAAUGGUAUGCAUUGCAUUUGUAUAAGAAAUGAUAUAGGGCAAAAAAAUUUGAUGUUUUGAAACCCCAAACAUGUGUUCCUCGGAAUUUCCUCGGAAUAUUCCGAGGAAAUUCCGAUGGAUAUUUAAGUGGCCGUCGGAAUUUCCUCAGAAUAUUUUCAUUUAACCGGGCAAACAAGCCGCCAAAUAUUUCGCGAAAAUUGAAAUUGAAAAUACCGAGGAAAUUCCGACGGAUAGUUUCCGUCGGACCCUAGGUUUUAUAGAAACGAAACACUUCUUCUUCCCCAUUUCUCUCUUCCUCCUCCGGUGAUCUCUCUCUUCUUCCGGCGAUUUCCCCCUUCUCUCGCGACGAUCUCUCCGGCGAAUCCUCUCUAUUCCUACACAAAUCAUGUAAGGACCCUAUCCCACUCUCUUAGGUUCUAUUUGUUAGGUUUUUAAGUAGAUUUGAUGAUUUUAGAAGUUUUUUGUUAGAUUUUUGUUAGGGUGAUUGGUUAGGAUUGUGAUUUGGUUGUGUAAUAGGUUUAGAAUUGUGAUUUGGUUGGAUAAUUUGUUGUGUUGAAUUGAUUUAGAACUUUUUAUAAAUUUUUUAUUAUUUUUGUAUUUAUAAAAUCGAUUUUGGAUUUUACAAAACGUUUUUUGUAUAUAAAUUCGAUUUGUGGAUUUAUAAAAGAUGAUUUCAUAUUUAUAAAAAUAUUUAUAUUUAUUAAAACUAAUUUUGUAUUUAUAAAACAUUUUUUUGAUUUAUAAACACUAUUUUAUUAUUUUUUGUAUUUAUAAAAACUAUUUUUAAAUAUACAAAACGUUUUUUGUAUAUAAAUUCGAUUUUUGGAUUUAUAAACGAUGAUUUCAUAUUUAUAAAAAUAUUUGUAUUUAUUAAAACUAAUUUUGUAUUUAUAAAACAUUUUUUUUGAUUUAUAAACAUUAUUUUAUUAUUUUUUGUAUUUAUAAAAACUAUUUUGUAUUUAUAAAAAGAUGAUUUCAUAUCUAUAAAAAUAUUUAUAUUUAUAAAACUAAUUUUGUAUUUAUAAAACAUUUUUUUGAUUUAUAAACAAUAUUUUAUUAUUUUUUGUAUUUAUAAAAAUUAUUUUGUAUUUAUAAAACAUUUUUUUGAUUUAUAAACACUAUUUUAUUAUUUUUUGUAUUUAUAAAAACUAUUUUGUAUUUAUAGAAAGAUGAUUUCAUAUUUAUAAAAAUAUUUAUAUUUAUAAAAUUAAUUUUGUAUUUAUAAAAUGUUUUUUUGAUUUAUAAACACUAUUUUAUUAUUUUUGUAUUUAUGAAAACUAUUUUUAAAUAUACAAAACGUUUUUUGUAUAUAAAUUUGAUUUUUGUAUUUAUAAAAACUAUUUUUAAAUAUGUUUUUCAAUUAAUAUUUAUUAAAACUAUUUUUAAAUAUGUUUUCUAUUUCAAUUAUAAUUUUAUAUUUUCGAAUUUCAAUUUUAAAAAAUAAAUAUAUAAUUUUUUUUUUAAUUUUGGAAAUAUUCCGAGGAAGUGUAUUCCUCGGGAUAUUCCGACGACAACUUCCUCGGAAAUGCUCCCUCGGUAUAUUCCGAGGACCUGUCCGACGAACUGGUGGUCCUCGCAGUUUCCUCAGAAAUUCAUUUCCUCGGAAUUCCGUCGGAAAUUUCCGAGGGAUUUCCGAGGAAAAAUGAAUUUCCGAGGAGUUAUUUCCGAGGACAUGUUUCGUCGGUAUGUCGUCGGAAUAACGUUAUUCCGAGGACAUACCGACGAUUUUUUCUCUCAGUAUACCGCUGUUUUCUUGUAGUGACCGUACGUUUAUUUUAAUUUUUUUAAGUCGACAUUCGAACAUAGCGUCUCGUAAAAGGCAAACGCUAUGUUUAAAACACGGGUAUCAAAAACAUAGCAUAAUCGUAAAAAACGCUAUUCUGGUAUGCUAUUAAAAUCCAUUAUUCUUGCAGUGUUUUAGUCUUUAAUUUCGCUAGGAUGGAUUUUGACCCAACAGUAUAUAUAGAAAUAGGGAAUAUUUAGCAUUGAUGUGAGGCGUAUGUUAUGUCCUUAACAGUCAUUUCCAACUAGUUAAAGGAGUUGUAUAUGAAUUUCUUGUAGCCUUCGUGGAAACGUUAUUAAGUUUUACAGUGUGUGUUAUCUCCUUUUCUAGAAUUUGUAAAAAUCUGAUAAUUUGGAGUCUUGGACCAUUUACUCUAUGAACAAUCAAAGAAGACAACCGUUCAUGUGAGCUUUAACUCCUACUCUAUUUCUCCGUUUCUUCCCUCACAUGUCUAACCCAAACUAAUUGCCGGCAAAACGAGAUUGUAAUGCACCCACAUGUAAUGCUGUUUUUGUUUUCUCUUUUCUAUUUUCUUGUACAACUCAACGUUGUUCCGCGUUUCUGGGAGAGAGAGAGCUUGAUAUAAAUAUGUAGUUACAAUAUUUAAUUUCAUAUUUAAUUUGAUAUGAUAUUUAAAAUUAAUUAUUUAAAAUUAAAUAUUUAAAAUUAAAAAAAUCAUCUUUAAUACUCAAUCAUAUAUAAAUAAAUAUUAAAUUUUUUAUGCUCUCUUUUUAAAAUUUUAAAUUUUUUUUAGGUAUAUCCGAACCAAACUAAUAUAACCCGAGUAUGAACGACAUCGAGUUAUUUUAUGGGUUUAAAGAAGUAAUACAAAUUAGCACUGAAACUGUUGGGGUAUAUCCGAACUCAGUCCGUACGAAGAAGAAUUAGGAUGUGCAAUAAAUUAAAACCAAAAUCCAAAAUAUCUAAUCCGAGCACCAAUGGGUACCCAAACGUCCAUGCUUAGAUACAAAUCUCGGGUGAUUUUAGCUUUUGAUUUCGCUAGGAACGAUUUUGACCCAACAGUAUAUAUAGAAGUUAGGAAUAUUUAGCAUUGAUGCGAGGCGUAUCUUGUGUCCUUGACAGUCAUUUCUGACUAGUUAAAGGAGUUGUACAUGAACUUCUUGUAGCCUUCGUGGAAACGUUAUUAAGUUGUACAGUGUACCCUACAGUAUGUGUUAUCUCCUUUUCUAGAAUUUAUAAAAAUCUGAUAAUUUGGAGUCUUGGACCAUUUACUCGAUGAACAAUCAUAGAUGACAACCGUUCAUGUGAGCUUUAACUACUACUCUAUUUCUCCGUUUCUUCCCUCACAUGUCUAACCCAAACUAAUUGCCGGCAAAACGAGAUUGUAUUUUAUUAAAAACUAUAUUAUCUUACAUCACUUAUUAAAAAACUUAUAAAUGCUGGCAAGUUGCAGCCGAACUCGAUGAAUCUCUUUAUAUUUAAUUACAUUUGUCACCCACAUGUAAUGCUGUUUUUGUUUUCUAUUUUCUUGUACAACUCAACCUUGUUCCGCGUUUCUGGGCGAAUGAUUAACGAGCAUGACUAGCUCGUGCAAAAAAAAAUCUUAAUUAGUUUGGAUCCAGGAUACUACCGUGUUUGUUUAAUAAUAUUUCUUACGUUCUAUAAUGAUAGUAACUUUGAAAAUUUUAUUUAUUUAAAAAAUAAUAAUUAUAUAUUUAAUGUAUAUUAUGUUUGUUGUCAUGUUAUUAAUAAAAAGCAAUCAUUUUAUACGAUUUCUAAUAAAUAGAGUAUAUUAUAUAUUUUUAGAUUACAAACCUCACAAUUGAUAUACAGUCACGCGGAGAAAGAGAACUAUGCCUGAUUUCGUGUGAAAUUAUCACAUCUAGAAAUUCAUUUGCUACAUAAUUACCAUGGCUCGGAAAAAACCAGAAUCCGUCCGAUUCGUAAAAGUAGUACCAAACUUGAAUCGAAACUAGUUAAAUAUCCGAACUAGUUCAAAAUUUUACUCUAAAGAACUGGAGCCGAAUCUGACCCGAACCAAAAUAUUUUGAGUAUCUGAAUAGUUCCGAUCAGAUUUAUAUACUUAAACAUAUUAGGAGAAUUUGUCAAAAAUGACCUAAAAUUUGAUUUUAAAUGCAAAAAUAUACUCCAACUUCAAUUAAAUACAAAAGUAAUCCAAAAGGCUAGUGAAAUUACGAUCAACCCCUUAUAAUAAAACAAAAAUCAGAAUGAAGUUUUACGAAUAUAACCCCUACAAGUCUUAUGUGGUUUUGUAAUUUUUAUGCGAGAAGACUUCCAUGAAGUCUUUUCAUGUAGUAGAUAUUAAAAAUAAUUUAUAAACUUUAUAAAAAAUACUUUUAUGAGGGAAAAAUUGAAAUCUUGUCAUUAUAAACAUUUGUAAAUGAUAUAAACUAAGAUCUAGUAAAAUUGAAUUGUAUUCAACAUAGAUGAGUGAUAUAAACUAAGAUCUAGUAAAAUUGAAUUGUAUUCAACAUAUAUAAGUGAAUGUAGUGAGUCAUGGUAUUCUUUGGUUUAGGGUCUGAUAACAUAUGUUGUAGUAUUGUUUGUAAUUUUAGGUUUAAUUAGAUUUUGGAAGCUUAACAUUUUUUUUUCUUCUGCAAAAAUUAGAAUUUGACAUAUAUAUGUUUAGUUUUUUUUAUAUUAAACACUUUUUAUGUUGAUUUUGAGUUUAAUGAAUUGUUUGUUUCUAUUUAGAUAGUUAUUUGUGUAAACGCGGAAAUGAAAUAAAAAUGGUUUUUGUGUGUACGAAAUAAGAAUAUGAAGAUGUAGAUGUUGAUUUUAGGUGCAUUUUGAACUUGAAAUUAAUUGUUCAUUGUGGAUGGUGUAUUGAUGAUAAUGAAAAUCUGUAAAUAAAAGAGAAAUAUGUGGAUGAUUAAGUAAAACAAGCAUUUUCAAUUAAAAAAAAAAGAUAUUUACGUGAAUAAUCAAAACUUUUGGGGUGAAUAAGGCAAAUGAAAGUUCUAAAACAUUCAUGGGUUAGUUUUGCAUUUGACUCUGAGUUUUGGGUCAUUUUUGCAAAAUCCCAAUAAUAUCCAAAAAUUUAUCCAAAAUAUAUAAGAUAUUUUGAAGUUGUCCAAAAUACUUGAAAAUAUCAAAUAAUCAAAAGUAAAUAUUUUAAACAACUAAACAAUAUUCAAAACACCAAAAAAUACUUGAAAUAUCUACUGAUUUUACAUCCAAAUAUUCAACCCAAACCAAUUUUUACGUUAACUUUAGGUAUUUUGGCAUACAUUAUUCAAAUUUAUAUAUUCUCUAUUAUUUUUAUUUUAAAUUUUUAGAAAUUUAAAGUAUAUAUAAACUUAAAUUUUUUUAAAAAAAAUUAAACGGGUUAUUCGAAUCCAAACCGAACCCGCAAUGAUUCAAACAAAACCAAAAUUUAUAAAUAUCUGAAUAGGACUAAAAUACUUAACCCCGAAAUCUCAAAACCCGAAAUCCGAAUAGACCCGAAGUCAAACGGGUGCCCGGAUGCUUAUCCCUAUUUACUUUGUGAAUUUUCUCCUGAUAUGUUUAUUCCUCUAAUUCAUCCUUGAUUUCAAAUACAUCCCUCCAUAUUUUGGUCAAACAAACUUGCAAAUUUUAAUGUAAUCCUAUUUUAAUAGAAAAAGUCAACGCUUAUGAACAUCCAGAGUAUAUCUAUAUUUUAAAAUUUCCUUCACGUAUACCUCACCACAUACUUUUAAUACAAUAUAACGAACGAUAAGUCGGCAUUUUCUUACAGCCAAUAACUUCUCACGUAUAAAUCAAAAUCACAUGUCUUUGCAAUAAACUACCAUAUAUUAUACACCUAGCGUAACCGAGGGAAUAACGAAAUGAAAUGGUAACGCCAUUCCACGAGAGCAGAAUAUUGAGGAAUCCCAAGUCAUAUGUUUAGAUAAUAUAUGUAGGAUGGAUGGUUCUCGAACUUCCACAAUACAGAUCAGUGGUUGUCGUUGGGUUUGGAUGGCUAGUUUGGAAAAAAAUCAACUUAUAAGGACACGGAACUUAAGAUAGUGAGAGACUUCUUUGCAUUCAAAAAUAGAAAUACUGUGAUGGGCAAUGGAGAGUAUGUUUCAACAUUUGUCAUGCCAGAGCUUCGGGACAGAUUGCAAUAUAUGAUCGCGAUAAUAAAGGAGCUUUACGCUUGGCAAAGUUUUGCAACCGAACUGGAGACGAUAAAGACGCUGCUGAUAUGUUUUCCGGACUCCAAGAUAUCUCAUAUCUCGAGAGUGCAAAAUAGAAUUUCUGACUCUUUAGCUAAGACUGCAAGAUCUUUUUAUCGUGAGAUUUGUUAUAUUGGUUGUUUUAUUCUGAUCUGGUUACCCAGACCACCUCAAGUUUGAGUAAUAGAAUACCUGUUUGUUGUUAAAAAAAAGAGGCAACAAGGAGAACAUCACUUUCCCAUGGUCCUCAUCGAUGGGUAAGAACGGUAACCGAUUCUUGGGGAUUCAAAAUACUUACUAGUGGAUUUUGUCGGGUUUAGUGGGUGAAAAAAUCUAGGAAUGUAUCAGAUAAAUUGAGAAAUUUUGUUCGAAUCGGGCUUGUAAUCAAAUAAAAUUUUCCGUUAAUCAGGCUAACUAGGGUGUCUGAUUUCAGGAGACAGAAAUAGAAACAGAAGCUGAAGUUAUAGCUCCGAUGAGCAACAGUGGAAGCAGGGGAAGUUGCGGCAAGAUCUUUCUAGAUCGAUAACAUGAUAAUUUUUUUGGGGUUUGAUAAAUUUUAGUAUUGCCUUUUCUGUGAGUGAUAUCUCGGUCUCAUUAGGGAGCCAACAUCUUUUCGACAAUAAGCUUUCUGCGAGCUUGUCUUGGUCGCUUUUCUUCUGGAAAAGAGCCAUGACAAGAGUUUUGAUUUGAGUCCUGCAGCGUUUGCGUUGGCCGUAGGAGUGGUCGCUGCUGGUGUUGUUUCACCAAUAUUAUUGUUGUUGUUGAUAGCGUCAACACGAGCUGCGUUUUCGUUUUCCAUACUUCAUCAUAUAUUUUGGACCAACAAUUUUAAGGCCCCUAUUAAGAAUAAUCCCCCUCUCCCUCUAGUGCCAAAAUGUGGGAGUCAAAAUUCGCACAAUCAAAGUUAUUAUGAACAAAGCAAAUCUUUCACGGGGGUUCGGAUUUUUCGCAGAGCCAAUGACAAGUAAUCAAAAAGAUGCGGAAAAGAAAUAAAAUAAUAUGAAAAGUGAACUUAAAACAAAAUACUUUUAUUACCAAUUUUUGUAUGAGCUUUUCAGGGAUAAAAAUCGUACAUAACGUUUGUUUUGAAGGGAGAUUCCAACGGAAAUCAAAUAACACAUGCAGGAAACCCUAUCUUAGUUCCUAAAGUAACCUCUUAUGUCAAGAAAACCUAUGUGUGUUGCAACUCGUUUACCAAAAGACAAAAAAUAAAGCCUGAGGUUUUUAAUUCCGGAGAGUUUCAAAAGCUAAGUUUGUUCUCCCUUUAUUCUCUCUACCAGUUUUGUUUAUAUACAAUUCCAAGGUCGGACAUGUUGCCAUUUUUCCAGAGAUCCAUGUCUUAUGUUUUCCGAUUUAAUUUUCCUUAUUUGUCGAGAUCUGAGUUUAUCCUUUUUUGAAAACUUCCAUUAUCCCGUCUUCCUCCUUCUUUCUAUCCAAGAAAAGAAAACCGUAAUUGAGAUUGAGAUACUUUACACUUUAAGUCUAAAGUCGGCUGUAUCGUGUUUUGGGCUGUUUUGAACUGUUUUACGACAUGUGUUUUACCACUUUUCUCGGAAAAUCAUGAAUUCACACCAAGUUGCGAUUUUGGGUGCCAUUGGUCGGAAACAUAUUGGUGUUUAAGUUAAUCGUUUCCAACUUAAUGUUUCACAAAGGUUUACGGAAAAUAAAGUAUUCCUUGUAUUUUCGCAAAAUCUCAACGGCUACAUUAAUUGCGACGAAACAAAGAACGUUUCAGAAAAUAUUAGAGUGAGAACAAGAUGGAGAGAGGAGUGGGCGAUGAUGAGGCAUACUAGCGAUUUCCUGCAAUGAUCAGGAGCUUUGGGAAAUGUGCUAGAGAAAAGGGCUAUGUGCUUGUGUCAUGGCGAUGUGGUGUGUGAUGGGGAGAUAAUGGCGAUAUAAGGUGCAAGGAGGAGGCAAUUACGAUCCGGAGAAGAUAUAGAGAGGUAAGGGCGAUGAGGAAGAAUAUAGAGGGCAAUGAGGAAGAGAGAGGGAGAGAUAUAGGCAACAAGGAAGGAGAGAGAGGAGAGAGAAGGCAAUGAGGAGGAGGAGAUAGAGAGAGAUAAGGGCGAUUUGGCCUUGAUGUGCCUUGUGGUGUGUCUAUCGUUCUUCAUUGAUGUUGUAGUAUGCUUUCGGAAUUGUUUUGCUUGUUUUAUGAUUUUUUUCAUAAACUUUCUAAAGUUUGUUACGGAAGAAUAUUUCGUGAAACUUGUUUUGCUUGUUUUACGAAAGUUUUUCCUUAGAAAUUUCUCGAAAUUAGCGUUGCGGAAUAUUGUUUCGUAAAACUUGUUUUGCUUGUUUUAGGAAAGUUUUUCCUUAGAAACAUCCUGAAGAUUUUUUUUACAGAAAUUUGUUUCGUAAAGCUGUGAUGUUUCUUGUAAAAAACAUUCCAAAAGAAUGCUUUUCUGGAAAAAUUCUUGUUUGAGCAGAAAUCUCUUUAUUUUCUUCCCGGGGAAAGAAAUGUACGGAGUUUGUUUUACAUAUCUUUGUUCAUGUUUGCACGGGGUAUGUGGAAUUGCUGUCUCAACAUUUACGAUUCAUUCUUGUAAAUAAGACGAUUCUCGAGUUAUUUUAGCUAUUGAUUUCGAUAGGACCGAUUAUGACCCAACAGUAUAUAUACGAGUAGAUGAGAUCUUUAGCUUUGAUGUGAGACAUAUCAUGUGUCCUUAACAUUCAUUUCCGACUAGUUAAAGGAUUUGUAUAUGAACUUCUUGUAGCCUUCGUGGAAACGUUAUUAAGUUGUAUAGUGAACCUUAUAGUAUAUGUUAUCUCCCUUUUUAGAAUUUAUAACAAUCUGAUAAUUUUAGAAACACUAAGACUGGAAGAUGUUUUCAUUGAGCACUUUGCUACAUCGGUUGUUUUAUUCCGGUCUGGUUACCUAGGCUACCUCAAGUUUGAGUAGUAGAAUAGCCGUUCAUUGUAAAAAAAAAUCUGAUAAUUUGGAAUCUUGGACCAUUUACUCGAUGAAUGGGUGGUUAAAGUGAGCUUCAACUACUGCUCUCUUUCUCCAUUUCUUCACUCACAUGUCUAACCCAAAGUUUGAAAACCUUUUUACAAAAAAAAAAUGUAUAACCCAAAGUAAUUACCGGCAAAACGAGAUUGUAUCUAAUCUAUUAAAAGUGAAGUACAAAUAAAAAUUAACCUUAAUUUUUUCUAAUAUUUACAUUUGAAUGCCACUGGCCUUAAAUAAUUUUAAGAAAUAAUUUUUUUUAAUAUAUAUUAUGUUUGUUGUCAUGUUAUUAAUAAAAAUCAAUUAUUUUAUACUAUUUUAUAAUAAAUAUAGUAUAUUAUAAUUUGGUAGCUUAUUAAUAAAAUUUGAUUAUUUGGUACUAUUUUCUAAUAAAUAUACUAUAUUAUAAUUUGGUGGACUAUAGACCUCCCAAAUUAUUUACGGUCACACGUGGAAAAAGAGAAUUAUGUAUGUUUUCAUGAGAGAUUAUCAUAUCUAAAAAUUAUUUUGUUACAUAAUUAUUUGGGGAAUUUGCAAAAUAUAGCCUAUAUAUUCAUGUGACACAUAAAAUUAUACUUCCUAUUCAAUCAAAUGCAAAAUUAACAUACAAUGAUAGAAAAAUUGCUAUUUACUCAUUAUGAUCAAACAAAAAACUAGAAAAUUGUAUGAUUCUAUCUUUCAAAAGUUAACUUUUCAUAGAUAGAAAUCUGUAUGGUGUAUACCUCGUAAGAAGUCUACUCCGUAGAAUCAUUCUGAAGUUUAUAUCAUAAUUUAAACUAAUAAUUUAAUUUUAAAAUGUGUAAAAAUAUUUUCUGUGAAUUUUUUUUAUAAAUAUCAACAUAAAAAACUAAUACGAGGUAUAUAAAUUAACAUUUAAUAUAACUGAAAAAAUUAAUAUAUAUAUAUAUAUAUAUAUAUAUAUAUUAAUUUGCUAACCAUGUAUUGGACAAUACUUAUGGUUUAGUUACAAAAGGUUCUACCAUGUAAGGUCUCUUUGGGUUAGAUUCUUAGGGUUAUAUUUUAGAUUUAGAUUGUUUUUAGCUUUAUUGACGUAAAUUUACAUACCAGUGUUGAGUAGUCUUUUUUUUUUUUUUGACAGCAAGAAAUUUACAGACUCAUAUUGACUCUGUAAACCAUAUUGGUAACUCCGCAUCCAUGUGAACGACAAAGGACAAUUGCUUUCUUGCACUACGUGCUAAGCUAUCUGCCCGAAGAUUCGCUGUCCGAGGUACAUGGACGAUGUCUGAGUUGAGGAAGCUUCAUUUGAGGAGCUUGAUAUCUUCCAAAUAGCUUUCAAAUGCUGGUCAUUCUUCUGGUUCCGAAACCAUCUUCACCAAUUGAGAACAAUCUGUUGCAAAAGUAACCUGGAACUGUCUUAAAUUCUUCAUGCAUUCCAUUGCCCAAAUCAAAGCCUCUACCUCCGAAUGAAGGGGAAAGAGGCAUACCCUUAAAUUCCUUGCCCCCAGUAGACCAUCAAAUCCCGGUAAAGUACUAUACCAGCCUUGCCCUGACAUUAAAUCCUUAUCCUUCCAUGAGCCAUCAAUAAAACACCAUCGACCUGGUGUCUCUAAGGGAGGAAUGGUUUGUACCGAGAACCCCCUCGUUGGUUCAUUUCCUACAUGUGCUUCUGCCCAGAGUGAUGAUUCCACUUCAGCUAAUUUUAGAGUGUCACGCGGAUCAAUAUCCAAAUUAUUAAAAUAUAAUUUAUAAGAUAAAAUAUAGACUACUCAAAAUAUAAAACUCUAUGUGUUUACCUUACUACUAUUUUAUCUUAUAAAUUAUAUUUUCUAUUUCUUUUCAGAUUUAAACUUAUUUUCAUGUUUUUAAUAUACAUAUUUUCAGAUUAAAUAUUAUCCAAUAAAGUAGACUUCAAAUGAGGUCUAUUCAAAUAUUUUUUAAUUUUUUUUUCAUAUAUUAUCCUUAUAAUUUUAUCUUAUUUUGCAAGUACUAUCUUCUAAAUUUUUCAAUUUAUCUGCUCAAAAAUGUAAAAUUUACAUCUAUCAAUUUUAAAUCUAUAUUUUGUGUUUAUAUUGAACUAAAUUUAUAGAUUAAAACUAUAUGUUUUUUUUGCUACUAUUUUAGCUUAAAAGAUAUUUUGAAAUUUUUUAAAAGAAACUAUUUUCAAAUUUUAUAAAUAUACAUUUUUAGAUCUGAUUUUUUUUCCGUUAGUGUAGACUUCUUAGAUAUUAAAGCUAAUAGACUUUAAAUAAAGUCUAAUAAUCCAUAAAAGUUUAGUAGACUUGAUAAGAAGUUUACUGAAAUAUGAUUUAAAUUUUUAUCUUAUGUUUUUCUCAUAAUUUAAUCUUGUUUUGCAGGUACUCUUUUCCAAGACUUCAUUUUAGCCAUCAAAAUAAUGAAUAAUAAACAAACUCUAUAAUAUUUUUAUAAAUUUCUUUUAAUAAUUUAUCAUUAUAAAAUAUUCAUUUGUAAAUCAUUGUUUUGAUGCAUAAUCUGUAAACAUUAUAUUCAUUUUUAGUUGUGUUUCAUUUGUAUGAUAUUAUUAAUUUUUGUUAGCUAUCAAUUUUUUUCACAAGAUAUUCAAAUCAACCAAACAAUUAAAUCCACCAUAAGGUAAAACAAUAACUAGCACACAUGUGUAAGAAAAAAAUCUAUAUAAACUUCUCAAGAAGUUUCAUGAGUAAAAUUAAUCACAAAAACUUUCCAAUAUAUUUCAAGUGUAUACUUCAGACAAUAAAAAUACAGAAGCAGACUCCUAAGUAAUUAUACACUUAUUAGUUAAGAAACUAAUUAAGCAAGAAAUUUGUUAGUUCCAUAAUUGUAACACAUUUAAUUUUGAUAUUCAUUCAAGACCAUUAAGAUUCAUUAAUGUACAUUGUAAAACAAUAGAAUCAUGAAAAACAUGAUGAAUAAUAAUAGUCGACUUCAUAUGCAGUAUAAGUUUUUAAAUUUUUUUCAGUCUACAUUUUUUUUUUUUUUGAAAGAGGUUGGUUUUGCAAUGGAACAAGUUUGACCUUCUAGAGUAGAUUUAAAUGGACGUCUACGAAUGUGUUGACUUCAUAUGAAGUCUAUUCUCAAAUCCGAUGGGUUAGUCUUGUGUUUGACUAAAAUAAAAUUGUAGAAUUCAUAUGCAGUAUACAUUUUUUUAAGAUUAGUAGACUGCAUAUGAAGUCUACACUUUAAUUAAUUUUUGAUUAAUCUCUUAACAUUUUAGUCAAACACAAAAUUAAUCUUUUCAGAGACUCAAAAUUUUGGUCAAAUGCAAAACUGCCAUUUUGCAGACUUAGCCUACUUGAUGCAGAAUUCCGAUGAAGUCUCUUGUUAAAGUCAAAAGUUCGGUCAGUUUCAAAACUAACCUCUUUUAUGUAUAUUUUUUCGUAAGUCUACCGAUUUUUUUUCAAAGGUUAAGACGUAGACUUCGUUGCAAAAAAUAAUUUUGGUCAGUUGCAAAACUAACAUGUGCAUUGACAAGAAGACCACAUCGUAAGUUUACACAUAUGCGUAGACAUACAAAACAGUCUACUAUCGCGACAUAGAUUUGAAAAUUGACGAAAACUAUUUAAAUAGUUACAUUUUCUUGUGUAAAGCGUGUUUCCAACCUAUUCCGCCGUCCAAAAUCCAAAUAUGAGCAAAAAGAAACAGGUUUGACGAUUCUUUACUGAAGAAUCACGAAAAUAUGAAACUUGUGUUUGUGAAAAUGAAACUUAUGAGAGUUUUUAAGAUGAAAAUGGAAAGGAAAUGAAGAUUUGUUGGUGCUGAAUGAGAAAAAAAAGUAGAUAUAAAUUGAAUUCUUGCGCUUUAAAAGCUCAAAAAUGGUUGUUCAUCGUGGUUGAAAAAAAUUUGAAGAUUGUGGCAUUGUUGUAAAUAAAAAGAAACGUUUAGGAUGUUUUAGGUUUUUUGCCAUUUUUCGAAAUUAAAAUGAAGUUGAAUUAUAGUGGUAAUUUUGUAAAUAUUUCAAAAAAUUAAGGAGGGUAUGAAAUGUUCAUGGCUAAAUAGUAUUGACAAAAAAAGAGUUAGUUUUGUGUUUGACAUGAAAUUGUGAAUUAUUUGUUAAAAACUCCCUAAUUACUUUGUGAAUUUUUCCCCUAAUAUGUUUAUUUCUCUAGUUCAUCCUUGAUUUCAAAUACAUCCCUCCAUAUUUUGGUCAACGCUUAUUAACAGCCAAAGUAGAUGUAUAUUUUAAAAUUAUGGUUUCCUUCACGUAUACCUCACCUGACACAGACUUCUAAAUAAAAUAUAAUGAACGAUAAGUCAGCAUUUUAGUACACCCAAAAACUUCUCACUUAUAAACCAAAAUCACAUGUCUUUGCGAUAACCACUACCAUAUAAAUAUAAGUAUAUAACUGCGGUAUUUGAUUUCAAGAGACGGAAAGAGAAAUGGCGAUGGAAGCUGAAGUUAUAGCUCCUGUGAGCAAGGGCGGAAGCAGGGGAUGUUGCAAGUCAGGUCCCGGUUAUGCUACGCCACUGGCCGCCAUGUCCGGACCAUCGGAAAAGCUCAUCUACGUCACUGCCGUCUACAAUGGUACACUUUUGAUCGUAUCUGUGUUAGUUUGUUAUCUCUUUCUAAUGUUAUAGAGUCCAGAUCAAAUGUUUUGAAAGGUACUUUCAGACAGAAUCAUUACUUUUUUCUAACUUUGGUUCAAGAUUUGGUAGGGAAUAGACUCUCAAAGAUUCUAGAUAGAAAUUACAAUACCCCUGAGAUUCUCUGUUUUCAUUUUCCGCAUUAGAUCCGUUAACCAGAAGUUGGUAGUGAAAAUCUUUGUGUUGGUUGUAUAAUAUUCAUUUAGUUGACAAAACAUCCUGUCUCCUCUGAUUUAUUCAUUUCUAAUUUGGUUUCAAGGAACGGGACGAGAGAAGCCGGAUUACUUGGCAACGGUGGAUGUCGAUCCAAACUCACCAACGUAUUCAAGCGUCAUUCACAGACUGCCAAUGCCUUUUGUGGGGGAUGAGCUUCAUCAUUCUGGUUGGAACUCAUGCAGCUCUUGCCAUGGUGAUGCUUCUGCUGAUAGACGCUAUCUCGUGUUACCAUCCCUUGUGUAAGAAUCCUUCAUCCUGUACAUUUUUCAUAGUCAUAUCUCUAAUAUGUUUCUCUGUCUUGAUGAUGGGUUUUUUUUGCUGUUUCUGAAGAUCUGGUCGCAUCUAUGCGAUUGACACAAAGGCAGACCCGAGGGCACCGUCUUUGUAUAAGUAUGUUGAUCCUAAAGAGAUUGCUGAAAAGACUGGGUUGGCGUAUCCACACACAGCUCAUUGUCUUGCCUCUGGUGAAAUCAUGGUGUCCUGUCUUGGAGACGAAGAGGGAAACGCCAAGGGAAAUGGGUUUCUCCUCCUUGACUCUGAUUUCAACAUCAAGACUAGGUAUCUUAUUACAAAACUAAAUCAUCAUGCUUUAGUUUCCAAUCAGUUAUCAGUCAUAUAAAAAUUGUUGAUGAUUGUAACUCUUAAAAGUUAAGAAAAAAUGAAGUAAGGGAUAGACAAGGAGAGUGAACAUAUACAAUGCAGUAAAUGUUAGAAGCUUUUCAUUAAUGGACUUUGAUUUGUAUGGUUAGGUGGGAGAAAGAAGGACAUAGUCCCUUGUUUGGUUAUGAUUUCUGGUACCAACCGCGUCACAAGACAAUGAUCAGCACUUCUUGGGGAGCACCUAAAGCCUUCACCAAAGGUUUUGAUCUCCAAGACGUUGCUGAUGGCUUGUACGGAAGCCAUCUACAUGUUUAUACUUGGCCAGGAGGUGAAAUGAAACAAUUAAUUGACCUUGGAGAGACUGGUCUCUUACCUUUGGAGGUAACAUAACCAAACAUCUAACUUAAAUGUGAAUAUUUGAUCUGUCUUUUUUUUUGAAGAGAUAUAUACUUUUGUUGUACAGAUUAGAUACUUGCACGAUCCCUCUAAAGACACAGGAUUUGUUGGGGGUGCUUUAUCAAGUAAUAUGAUAAGAUUUUUCAAGAACAGUGAUGACACCUGGAGCCAUGAGGCAAGUGUAGCUUCGUAAUCUUCUUCAUUUAACCCUUUCUGUUCUCUAAUUUAUCUGCAAUUUGAUCUGUUUUUUAUUUAUUUUUGUAGGUGGUUAUAUAUGUUAAACCCCUCAAAGUAGAGAACUGGUUUCUGCCAGAAAUGCCAGGGCUUAUCACUGACUUCUUGAUCUCACUAGAUGACCGGUUCAUGUACUUUGUGAACUGGCUUCAUGGAGACAUUCGCCAGUACAACAUCGAAGACCCUAAGAACCCUGUCUUAACCGGACAGAUUUGGGUGGGAGGACUGCUACAGAAGGGCAGUCCUGUUAAGGCUGUUAGAGAAGAUGGUAGCACUUACCAGUUCGAUGUUCCUCAGAUCAAGGUAUGUUGUACCCGCGGAAAGAGCAUUUGAGUUUCAUUUUAUAUGAACUCUAUACAACCUCUUCUUUUAAAAUGUCGAUGUUUGCAGGGGAAAUCUCUAAGAGGAGGACCUCAGAUGAUCCAGUUGAGCCUCGAUGGAAAAAGAUUGUAUGCAACAAACUCGCUCUUCAGUGCGUGGGACCGUCAGUUUUACCCGGAACUCAUGGAUAAAGGAUCACACAUUAUUCAGAUUGAUGUUGAUACAGAGAAAGGU
rnacentral:lncRNA from 1 species